rnacentral:rRNA from 1 species
CGUAGGGUGCGAGCGUUAAUCGGAAUUACUGGGCGUAAAGCGUGCGCAGGCGUUUAGUAAGACAGGCGUGAAAUCCCCGGGCUCAACCUGGGAACUGCGCUUGUGACUGCUAAGCUAGAGUACGGCAGAGGGGGGUGGAAUUCCACGUGUAGCAGUGAAAUGCGUAGAGAUGUGGAGGAACACCAAUGGCGAAGGCAGCCCCCUGGGUCGAUACUGACGCUCAUGCACGAAAGCGUGGGUAGCAAACAGGAUUAGAUACCCUGGUAGUCCACGCCCUAAACGAUGUCAACUAGGUGUUGGGAGGGUAAAACCUUUUAGUACCGGAGCUAACGCGUGAAGUUGACCGCCUGGGGAGUACGGCCGCAAGGUUA